GGUUGUGGCUCAGCGGUAGGGCGCUUGCCUAGCACAGGCAAGGCCCUGGGUUUGAUCCUCAGCACAUUA
rnacentral:tRNA from 1 species